GGACCCGCACAAGUAGUGGAGCAUGUGGUUUAAUUCGAAGAUACGCGCAGAACCUUACCAACACUUGACAUGUUCGUCGCGACUUUAAGAGAUUAAAGUUUUCGGUUCGGCCGGACGAAACACAGGUGCUGCAUGGCUGUCGUCAGCUCGUGUCGUGAGAUGUUGGGUUAAGUCCCGCAACGAGCGCAACCCUCACUUUUAGUUGCCAUCAUUAAGUUGGGCACUCUGAAAGAACUGCCAGUGAUAAGCUGGAGGAAGGUGGGGAUGACGUCAAGUCCUCAUGGCCCUUACGUGUUGGGCUACACACGUGCUACAAUGGCAUCUACAACAGGAAGCAAAACGGCAACGUUAAGCAAAUCCCGAAAGAUGCCUCAGUUCGGAUUGCACUCUGCAACUCGAGUGCAUG
rnacentral:rRNA from 1 species